GGGAAGUUAGCUCAGUUGGUUAGUAGAACACGCCUGAUAAGCGUGAGGUCGGUGGUUCGAGUCCACUACUUCCCACCA
rnacentral:tRNA from 1 species